rnacentral:rRNA from 1 species
GACGUAGGAUGCAAGCGUUGUCCGGAAUUAUUGGGCGUAAAGAGUUCGUAGGCGGUUAUCUAAGUCUGGUGUUAAAGCCCGAAGCUCAACUUCGGCAUGGCAUUGGAAACUGGGUAGCUAGAGUGUGGUAGAGGUAUCGGGAAUUCCUGGUGUAGCGGUGAAAUGCGUAGAUAUCAGGAAGAACACCCGUGGCGAAAGCGGCUCUCUGGAACGGUACUGACGCUGAGACGCGAAAGCGUGGGGAGCGAACAGG